rnacentral:lncRNA from 1 species
UAGGAUUUGAUUAGGAUUUGAUUAGGAUUUAGGAUUGGACUAGGAUUUAAGAUUUAUUUAGGAUUUCGGAUUUAAGAUUUACUUAGAAUUUAAGUUUUAAGAUUUGUUUUGGAUUUAGGCUUUAUGGUUUGCUUAAGAUUUAAGAUUUAGAAUUUAAAAUUUGCUUAAGAUUUAUAAUUUAGGAUUUUUUUUAGGAUUUAGGGUUUGGCUUAGAAUUUGAUUGAAGUCUAUUAGGAUUUCAAUUGGGAUUAAAUUAGAACUUAAUUAAAAUUUAUUUAAGAUAUAUUUGUGAUUAUUCUAAUAUUUCUUCAAGAUUUCUUAAGAAUUCUUUAAAGAUUUAUU